AUGUACAUUCAUAUAGCAUAGAGUUAAUGCACCAAAUCCCAUUAGAACUUUGCAGUUAAGUGUGCUCAUGCUAGAGUAGUAUUGGGAUGGGUGACCGCCCAGGAAGUGCUAGUAUUUUACAUG
rnacentral:rRNA from 1 species